ensembl:snoRNA U3 Small nucleolar RNA U3
AAGACUAUACUUUCAGGGGUCAUUUCUAUAGUUCAUUACUAGAGAAGUUUCUCCUAACUUGCCGAGCACGAGAAACACAGAGGAGGCACAGGCACAGCAUUCUUUCCCAGCCAGCUCUUGGUGUUGCCUCCCUACCACUGCCAUUUGCCACUGACCAUGAUUAUUUUCUUCUGAGAGAGUAAGAGGGAGAGGACACAGUCUGAGUGGU